rnacentral:rRNA from 1 species
AACGAACGCUGGCGGCAGGCCUAACACAUGCAAGUCGAGCGGACAUCUUCGGAUGUUAGCGGCGGACGGGUGAGUAACGCAUGGGAACGUGCCCUUUGCUUCGGAAUAGCCUCGGGAAACUGGGAGUAAUACCGGAUGUACCCUUUGGGGGAAAGAUUUAUCGGCAAAGGAUCGGCCCGCGUUGGAUUAGGUAGUUGGUGGGGUAAUAGCCUACCAAGCCGACGAUCCAUAGCUGGUUUGAGAGGAUGAUCAGCCACACUGGGACUGAGACACGGCCCAGACUCCUACGGGAGGCAGCAGUGGGGAAUCUUAGACAAUGGGGGAAACCCUGAUCUAGCCAUGCCGCGUGAGCGAUGAAGGCCUUAGGGUUGUAAAGCUCUUUCACCGGGGAAGAUAAUGACGGUACCCGGAGAAGAAGCCCCGGCUAACUCCGUG